UUUAAGUAUGUGUGCUUGUUUAAGUCUUUUUAGUUUUGUAUUUUAUUUUUUAUAAAUAAAUAAGACUUUACAUUAAAUUGUGUUUAAAUUUAAAAAUACGACUUACUAAUACUAAUAUUUAUUGGUGCACUUUCGUUCCUAAAACAAUGACAUAUAUUGCAAUGCAUCUUGGAAAUAGUAGUCAUUUAACCUCAGGAGCGUUCAAUACGCCGUGGAAAAUGGACUACCUUUCCCAUAAUGCAACUGGUCAUGAUCAGGAACUUCCGCGAAUUUCAAACCCGUGCUGUGUACUGGACGGAGGACGCGCGAUCUUUUGUCUUUUUGGAGUUUUAUAUAACACAGUAAGAAGUCAUGUACCACACUUUGUCAACAAUAAAUGUUGUUUCUGCAAUCUGGAUAAAGAAUAAUUCUUGAUUGUGGAGCUGCUGGAGUAAACAGGAAAAUCCUAUGGGUCGAAAGGAACUUGUUCUAAUCAAUACUGAAGGAGUAAAGCAGGAAGAAAAUUGACCUUCUGGUACAACGUAAACAAAGGCUAUUCGCCGUGAGUAUACCCUUUUUGUGUGGAGUAACUGGCAAAAGUUAACUUGUAUAACUAUUGGAAACCUCCAGGAGAAGGAGGGCGGCCCUACCCCUAUAAGAGUGUGGUGGGCGAGCCGUGAGAAGUCCAACUUCAAACAGCCACCGCAACGAGACUUAUUGUGGUCGUAUUUCCCAUCACCUUAUCGUAGCCCAAGCGCAGUGGAGGACACCGGGCGCUUCCCUUGUUGUGGUGCACUUCUAGUGUGGUGAGUGAGACUGUGUAAUAAAUCUUUUUCACGUUUGGAGUGGUGCUGUGUAUUGCUGUGGGUUGCUGUGUGUCUUGUAGACGAAGCCCCGCAUCAUCCAUUUUCUUCCACUGGGCAGAGGACGGAGAGGCCAACGACUACAGAAAACCACUGUUACUAUAAAUAGUGUGCUGUUUGGAGUACGAAGGGACGCAGACGAAGAGCUGUCCGUGACCGUGAGUAAACCAUUGGAAAGAUUCGUGGUGUGAACUUACCUGUGUCUGUUUUGUCGCAGAGUCAGAGGCGAAAGGGUCCGCCGCCCCGUGGUCUCUACGAAAAGGGCGCCCCCGUCUAGGAAUCGAUCGGCCUAUGGGCAUUGGAGAUAGGGCAGCGCUCGACCCGGUGAGGUGGUGUGUGACCUUCGCCCCUCUGCUGACCUACGGAGGAGAACCAUACUUACCCAGAAAGCUGUAAACAGCAGAGCCGGUGAGAAAUACUCGACGUCUCAGUAACAGUGUCUUUGUGUUUUAGCGGCCACCUGUGGAGAGAGAGCAGAACGAGAGUGAAUUAUUGAAGAGCCACCUGUAAACGUGAUACCUACCCAGAAAGCUGUAAACAGCA